AAAAAAACCCAAGAAAACCAACUAAAUGAAAUGGCGAUAGGCAAACUACCAGAAAAAAAAUUCAGAGUAAUGAUAGUAAAGAUGAUCCAAGAUUUCAGAAAUAGACUGGAGGCAUGAAUUGAGAAGAUACAAGAAAUGUUUAACAAGGACAUAGAA